rnacentral:rRNA from 1 species
UACGGGGGGGGCAAGCGUUGUUCGGAAUUACUGGGCGUAAAGGGCUCGUAGGCGGCCAACUAAGUCAGACGUGAAAUCCCUCGGCUUAACCGGGGAACUGCGUCUGAUACUGGAUGGCUUGAGGUUGGGAGAGGGAUGCGGAAUUCCAGGUGUAGCGGUGAAAUGCGUAGAUAUCUGGAGGAACACCGGUGGCGAAGGCGGGUUGCUGGGCCGACACUGACGCUGAGGCGCGAAAGCUAGGGGAGCGAACGGG